rnacentral:misc_RNA from 1 species
GAUGAAGAACGCAGCGAAAUGCGAUAAGUAAUGUGAAUUGCAGAAUUCAGUGAAUCAUCGAAUCUUUGAACGCACAUUGCGCCCGCCAGUAUUCUGGCGGGCAUGCCUGUUCGAGCGUCAUUACAACCCUCAGGCCCCCGGGCCUGGCGUUGGGGAUCGGCGGAGCCCCCCGUGGGCACACGCCGUCCCCCAAAUACAGUGGCGGUCCCGCCGCAGCUUCCAUCGCGUAGUAGCUAACACCUCGCGACUGGAGAGCGGCGCGGCCACGCCGUAAAACACCCAACUCUUCUGAAGUUGACCUCGAAUCAGGUAGGAAUACCCGCUGAACUUAAGCAUAUAAUAAGCGGAGGA